CAGUCGGUAGAGCAUCAGACUUUUAA
rnacentral:piRNA from 2 species